rnacentral:tRNA from 1 species
AAAUAAGAAGUAAAUUAUUACAUUUAGUUUCGACCUAAAAAUUUGAUGAAUUUAAUCAUCCUUAUUUA